rnacentral:rRNA from 1 species
AUGACCGACCUCGUCUCUUCGCCCCCUCCUCCGGCGGCUGCGCCCGCAUGCCCCGUGCGGCACGACAUCCUCAACUCCAAGCUGCCCGCCAACUACGUCGUGGGUCUUGGCCGUGGCGCCACCGGCUUCACCACCCGUUCCGAUGUCGGGCCGACCGCCGCGGCAGCUGUUCCCGCCGUCGGGCGUGGCUGCGGGAAUCCCCUAACCGAGGACGAAGGCGGCGACGAGGAUAAAGGAUAUGACGAGAACCAGAAGUUCGACGAGUUCGAGGGCAACGACGCCGGCCUCUUCUCCAACGCCGACCACGACGACGACGACCGCGAGGCCGACGCCGUCUGGGAUACCAUCGACCAGAGGAUGGACCUGCGCCGCAAGGGCCGGCGCGAUGCACGGCUCAAGCGGGAGAUUGAGAAGUGGAGAUUGAGAAGUACCGUGCCUCCAACCCUAAGAUCACCGAGCAGUUUGCUGAUCUCAAGAGGAAACUGA